AAGACUAUAGACCUGCGGAGUACCUGCGGAAGGAUCAUUAAAGAGAAAACUGCCCUUUGGGUAGAUCUCCCACCCUUUGUUUACCUUACCUUUGUUGCUUUGGCAGGCCCGUCUUCUGACCACCGGCUUUUAGCUGGUCCGUGCCUGCCAGAGGACCCCCAACUCUUGAUUUCAAGUUGUCCGAGUCUUAUAUAAUAGUAAAAACUUUCAACAACGGAUCUCUAGAUCGGAAGAGCACAC
rnacentral:misc_RNA from 1 species